CUCAGAAUCUUUCAUUGGCACAGUCUGGGUUGCUGUGAGCUGGCCCUCUGGUUCCUAAAUCAACUGUUAAAUGAGAAUAACAAGUAGUUAUCUACUAAAGGGGUUGUAGGACUGAAUGAAAUAAAAUGGAAACUGCAGCACAGAGCCUGCACACGGCUGAGCCUGGCUCUUAUUACUUCUUAAAGGGGUCCUAGAUCCUUAGCGUGAUUGGGGCCGCGGGUGAGCGGAGCGCAGCCCGCACCCCGGCCUAGCGGCCUGCCCCGCCCAUGUGGGGCCGCGGUCCGUCGAAUGACUCGGUGCAACGUGUUUGUGGCGGUGGCGCGGGCUCUUCCGGGCGCUGCAGUUUCCUGCCAAGCACCGCGCAGCCGCCUCGGCCACAGGAGCCCCGGGGGCGCAGGCCUCGGCGCGGGUACUGGACCUGGGCUCAGCCGCGCACUCAGCCGGGCCCCGUGCCACCCGCCCCGCAUGAUGCGCACGGCACCGCUGCUGCUGCUGCUGCCACCGCUUCUGCUGCUGCUAGUGCUCCUAGCCGUUCCCACCGCCCGCGCCAGCCGUGUCCAGUCCGCAGCGGCGCCUCACCCAGAGCACCCGCCGCCUGGCUCGGGGCCUGUGAACACCACCCGGACCGGGUCUGGGGAGGCGGCGGUGGCAGGCGGCGGUAGCUCCAAUAGCAGCGGCGAUGCUCUGGUGACCCGCAUCUCCAGUCUGCUCCGAGACCUGCCCACCCUGAAGGCAGCCGUGAUUGUGGCGUGCGCCUUCACUGCCUUCCUCAUCGCCUGCCUGCUGCUCCGCGUCUUCAGGUCAGGAAAGAGGUUGAAGAAGACCCGCAAGUAUGACAUCAUCACCACUCCAGCCGAGCGAGUGGAAAUGGCCCCACUAAAUGAAGAGGAUGAUGAGGAUGAGGACUCCACAGUAUUUGACAUCAAAUACAGAUACUAAGGUUGUUUCUACAUCUUGGCCAUGGGAAAUGAUGCUGCCGGGAAGAUGGAGGUGCAGGCAUUUCUUCCACAAUGCGAUUUCGUUUCCAAAGGCAAAUGAGUCAAUGAACCACUUGUCCUUUUAGGUGAUGUCUUCAACAGAUUUUAGAGGUAAAACCUGUUUUCCAGCCUGUUGGCCUCCUGUGGAAAGUUGAUCAGCUGCAUCCUGAGUGUGAGGGAUCUGGAAGCCGUCUUCUCCGAGGUGUUGAAGCCAAGACAAACAUUAUUUAUGAAACUCUGGCAUGUUUGUGUGUGUCACGCCUGCUCAGAAUGUCACUGCAGGAGAAUCACCUCUACCACCCUCUGGACACCCCUUUAAAAUGUCACCUUUUCUUCCUUCUCAAGAGGUCGAAGGGUAGAAUGUAUUGACUUAAAAAAUGUUAAUUUGAAAGCAACGGCUGACAAAAGUAAAAGAGACCGAAGUUAUCAAGAACCCUUCCCAAAAAGCCUGCAGGAUCUCCAUCUGUGUAUUUAGGAUUUCUGACACCCUGCUCUCCUGGAUCUGUGACGUUCUAGAUGUCUGAACCUUUGCUGAUCUUUCAGGCUUGGUCAAGUUCUAGCCUUAUGUUGAGAAUGACUGUGUGAAAGUUCAAAGUGAAAGUGCUUAGAGCUGGUCAGCCCAUAGCAGAAGUACACACAUUUGUGGCACCUCACCUUACCUCACCUUUUCUUCCCUUUUCUUUUCUUUUUAAAGUGUUCAGCAGAAUUAAGCAUAGCUAGUUCACAAAUAAUUUUGAAUAUCAGGGACUGUAUUUAAAGUUGGUCUUAAGCCAGGCUGGAUUAGAAAGCCACUGAACUCAGCAGGUACCACAGGUGUGGGUCAAGGGUUCAGGUGGCUUCUGGAAGUGGGGACUUAGGUUGACUUCUCAGGUUGAUAGAGGCUCCCAUUUCGCUGUUUCCCCAGGGUCAAUGCUUCUGCUGAAGUGGACUGGCAGUGCCUUUGGGGCCCUGGGACUCUGUUCUCUCUGGAAAGGUGUUUCGUACUUUUUUUUUUAAUCUCCUCUUUUCUGG